ensembl:lncRNA uncharacterized LOC114798984
AUCAGUUUCUGAGAAUGUUGGUUCAAUAGAUUUGCGAAAUACAUUUAAUUCACCGACACGAUCACGUACAAGUUAAAAUCUUCAUUAUUAAUAUAAUUGCAGUCUAUUCUAUUUUCAAAGCCGAGAGCGGCACUGUUUGACAUACAGUGUGCAGCAUCGUAAACAAACCGCUACAAAUCAGCGUUUUGUCGUCUGACGUUAAUACUUAUUAACGGUGUCUGUGUUAACCUCAACUGUGAAGUGUGGAAAUGAACGAUAUGAACGCUGAACAUUUGGGACGGAAGCGAGCGAGGCGCUGCAACUGCGUUACUAGCCGCGCGUAGCAACGUGCGGUAGCCGCUGCCACCGCGUGGAACCGACGUUCGUUCCGUUCGCGCUCUUUAAAGGCUGCCGAACCCUGCGCUUCCGAAGCAGUGCAACGAUUGCAUUUUGUUCCAGGUUUCAAUGAGGUCCAACAAACAGAUGCCGAAGACAGGAAAGGAUCGGAGCAAGAUCCUCUCAGAUGGUGUCACAUCAGUCAGCAGUUCUCUGGGAGCAUCAUCACCUCAGAGACUCCAAGCAGAGAAUGCAGAGCUUAAAGCGCAACUGGAACAGUUGAGGGAGCAGUAUCAGCAGCUGCUUCAGGAGGGCGGAGAGGAGAAGUUUGAGGAGAGGAGGGUGAACCUGCUCAAGGCUCAGGUGAUGCAGCUGGAGAGACAGGUUGUUCUGCUCUCCGAGGGGCUGAGCUCCCACGUGUGCCGCUCUCAAGAGGUGGAGAAUGUUCUGGAUUCUCUGGUGGAGAGACUCAGGGCUCUGCCGUGUUCGGACUCGUCUGGGUCGGAGGUGUCGAUUGCGCGAUCCGAGCUCGCCCAGCUGACGGAGAGGUGUGCGGAGGUCAAACGCAAGCUGAGCGGCACAAACAAGGCAGCAACGGUGGAAGACCUCUCCAUGCCGUGGGUGCUGACCACGUCGGACCUGGUCAAACAGCCUGUAACCUUGCUUGAUCUUUGCUAUGGCAAGACAAAUAACCUAAACCUUCAGCAAGCGAGUGCCCUGGAGUCCAGGCUCAGCCAGCUGUUUAAACACCUGCAUGGGAUCAUGCAGACGCUUCGCCUCAUCCUCGCCCCUGGAGAUGACCACCCCAGCAAGGCCCCCUUGGCCGUGUUCGCCAGGCUUCUGAACCAGGCUGCAAGCUGUAGUCCCGUUCUGGACCGCUGCUGCCUCGACCUCCUGACCCUCUCUCUCAUCGGGCCUUUAGCUCCCACGGGCGGCUCUGAUCAGCGGGUCAGCCUAGAACUGAGGCCUGAGAAUGUUCUGAGCCUGAUGCCGGCGUUUGCUCGAGGGCCACCGCAGCAGCGGGCGAGGAGAGCAGCUGAGGCUCUGUGCCGGGCAGCAACUUACUCUCAACUCAUGUAUACUCAACAGGUGGAGGCCCUGCAGGCCGAGCUGGAGUUCCACAGGCACCUGUACCGCCUGCAGGUGACCUACACCCAGGAGCUGAUCCAGGGCGUGCGUCAGGCGUACCACACCUUCCAGGACGGCGUCACGGAGAGCCUCUGCACGCCGCUGCAAGAUGUCCUUUCAUGUUAUGCUGAUUUGAAGAGCACGUCGUCGGAAGCUGCUCUCCGGGACUUCCUCACAGCCUUCAAGAGCAACUCCACGCACAUCCAGCAGGCAGUGGAGGCGCUCCGCCCUUCAAAGGGCCGAGGAGACGAGGCCUUGUCCAGGUACGGGAAGGACUUCCUGCGCUCGGUGGAGGCGCUACUGACGGACUGCGGCGAGCGGCGGGAGCGAGCCGCCGGCGAGCUGCAGGUCCUGCGACGCGAGUUCCGGCAGGCCGCGGAGCUGCUCGACGCUCCGCAACGUCCCGCCCCCCUCAGGCCGUCAGACCAGGCCGGUCCCGAGGAGGCGGCAGAUGCUGGCGGCUCCUCGUCCAAAGACAGACAGGGUCCUGUCAGGACGGUCAGAUCGAGGCCAGGAAGAAGCGGCGAGAGGAAGGAACCCCCCAGGACCGGCGGCACGUCGCUCUCAGCGCGGCCCGAGUGGCAGAGCUAGUUAGUGCCUGACUAACACCCAUCUGCUCGGAGGAAUGGCGAGGCUGCGAGAGAAGAAGACCCCCCCACCCCACCCCAGGACCGGGAGAGGAAAUGAAAAGCACUUAGAGAGGCCACGUCUAUUUUUAUCAGCUCUCACCGCUCCAGCGGUGCGUUCACCGGCCCAGUCUGGGGGUUCGGGGUGGCGGGGGGACACCUGUUUGUGGAGCGGAACCUGCAGGUGCUGGACUUUUAACAGUUUGCUCGCCCUCCACCCGUCGUUUCCAAGGCUUAAUGUCGCUGAUGGUGAACCGUUUGUUGCCUCCAUGGGAAAAAAAAAAACCCCUAAAAAAACGGGGCAGCUUUAAAAUUUUUAUUGUGGAUCUUGUGUGUUUUUCUUUCUCCGACAUUUACAGGCGGGGUCAAGAGGACCUUUAUAAUUUUGGCAAUAAAGAGUGAAUGGAAAAAAGUGUGAAACGUGCC